UUAUUUUUUGAGGCCGAGUAAAUGAUGCCCGUGAUGUAAAUAACUUGGCUCACUGUCAGCUUUGUUGAAAAGGUGUUGAAUGGGUAGACUCCUCCAAUCCAUGCAGUAUGUUAAAUACUCUUGUAGGUCACUUAUGCGAAUGGGUGAACUGCCAGUGUUUUAUCACAUAUCAUUUUAUCACAUAUAUUUUACUCUAUAUUAUUCUCGUGGAACAGAAAACUUUAUUACUUUCUGGUUGGGGUGCAAACCGAGUGGUACUAUUUGCGUAACCCUCCAAACAAUCAAUCAAUGUGCGUUGCAGAUAAUUUGCAGCUGCCCCUUCGUACUUAAUGCUUAGUCUAGUGCCAAAAUUAGUUAUUUGAAAGACCAUGGUCAAUUAGAGACGUAUGGGGGGAGAGGCAUUUAAAAGUGUAUUGUGUGAGUAAAUUAUAUGUAAUUAAUAGUCGAUGAGCGCUAAAAGUACCUUUUAAUAUGAUUGCAGACACUCGGCCCAGAAAUGUUCUUGACAUGAGCAUAGAAGUCCAUGGAGUCAUUUUUACCUGAAAGUACAGGAAGAUUAUCGGCCUGGAGGUGCACCUGACUUGGACAUCAGCAAAGCAGCUUAUGUGUCACCUGCUGUAUGCUGAGUUGGAGUUGGAGCACACAGGAGGAGGAAUCGCUCCUUUUCCUCAUGGUUGCAGGAAUGAAUCUGGUAUUUAUAUUCGCCCAAAGUCACCAGCAGAAACAAGCCAACUAAUGGAGCAAGAUGUAAUCUCAUAACGUAAAUGAUUUGAACCAAUAAAAAAUUCAAUUAAUAUCCAA